rnacentral:rRNA from 1 species
CCUACGGGGGGCAGCAGUGGGGGAUAUUGCACAAUGGGGGAAACCCUGAUGCAGCGACGCCGCGUGCGUGAUGAAGUACUUCGGUAUGUAAAGCUCUAUUAGCAGGGAAGAAAAUGACAGUACCUGACCAAGAAGCCUCGGCUAACUACGUGCCAGCAGCCGCGGUCAUACGUAGGGGGCCAGCGUUAUCCGGAGUUACUGGGUGUAAAGGGUGCGUAGACGGUUAUGUAAGUAUGGAGUAAAAGCCCGGGGCCCAACCCCGUGACUGCUUUGGAAACUGUGUAACUGGAGUACAGGAGGGGCAGGUGGAAUUCCUGGUGUAGGGGUGAAAUGCGUAGAUAUCAGGAGGAACACCGACGGCGAAGGCAGCCUGCUGGACUGAAACUGACACUGAGGCUCGAAAGCGUGGGGAGCAAACAGGAUUAGAUACCCGAGUAGUC